rnacentral:lncRNA from 1 species
GAAGUUGAAGUAAAUGUCACUAGAAGGAGGGUUGAAUAGUGACCCUUUAAAAGUUUCUCUGUAAUACUAAAAUAAACAAAACAGAAAGUAAAGAGUAGGGUUUAAGAGAGAUCACACAUAGAAGUUAUCCUGGUUCCCCCAAUAUGGGUUAGUCCAGUCCCCACAGCUUUUUUAAGAUUAUCCACCAAUUCUUGGGAGUUUC